rnacentral:misc_RNA from 1 species
UUUCCGUAGGUGAACCUGCGGAAGGAUCAUUAUUGUAUAACCGAGGUGCGAGGGCUGUCGCUGACCCGAAAGGUCCUGCACGCCCGAGUGCCCUCACACACAUCCAUCUCACCCCUAUGUGCACCACCGCGUGGGUCCCCCUUUGGCUUGUUCGGAGGGGGGCUUCCGUUUUCACACAAACUUUGUAUGCAGUGUAGAAUGUAUUUUUUGUUUUUGCGAUCACGCAAUCAAUACAACUUUCAACAACGGAUCUCUUGGCUCUC